UGAAGAUGUAUUCAACAAAGUCAAUGGGAAACAGUCAGCAGCUGUCAUUGCCCCACAAGCACCCUCAUGAGAUCAUUUGUCAAGUGCUAUAAAACUCUCUUGGUAACACCGGUUUUAAAGUAUUGUGAUAUACCUACAGGGUGUAUCAGAAAAAAAAAGACUCUCAGAAAAAGGACCAUAAAAAUGACAUAGGACCAAGUUUCAAAAAUCUGGUUGUACCCGUUGGUGAAGGGUGUAGUUCUGCUUUGAUUGAUGCCAGUUUCGUGGUUCACGUUUCACACUUCAGUUAGCACAGGAAGUUUGAAAUAAAAGUCUGUUGCGCACAGGUGUGUGAGGGUUAAAAUUCAUCAAGAAAUGUAUGCCAUGUUUAUCCCUCUCUGCUUGGUAAUGAUACACCCAGAAGUGAGAUUAUUUUGGUGUCGAUUUUAAAAGGGUUAAUUAUUUUUCAAAUUUUAUGUGUGCAAGGAAAAGUCCUUUUUACCCUUUUCAUUCAAUCCAACAGAUCUCAUUUUAACCAGAAUUCACAGAAUUACAGAGUUCAAACGUUAAAAAGGACCCAAAACAGUUCUUAGAAGAACACAAAGAACUAAUCUAAUUGGAGUACAAGAUGUCUAAAAAUAAAGUACAUUCAAAUUAAUUCGCUUCAGCUACAGCAAUUAACUUGACCUCAAGGAUAGAAAACUAUUAAGUUAAACAACUAUAUUAUUGAGGGAGGUGAACACUUUAAACAGUUCACAGAGAAAUCUGGUGAAUGGGCCUCUCGUGACCAGUUUUGUACUUAAUGUAAGUGGCCUCGAGGUUAGGUGCAUCUCGACAGUGCGUGGAGGUUCCCAUUGAUAUCAUGGAGGGGCGUCAUUGACCAUGAUAACAAUGCUGCCCUUCUCUUUAUUCUGUGAUGGACUCAUUUAUUUCUUCCUCUCCUGUAGUGUUGACAAGUACGCUGUCUUCCAUCAUGACCAGACUGGUUGGCUAGGUACCACACUCUACGCCGUCUGUAUUUGGAGUAGACAUCUUGCUACAUGAAGACAUCCUGGUGGAAGGAGCACUGCCUUUAUUACGAACGUCUCGUUGACUCGUUUUAAGCAAUUCUGGAACCUCCGCUGCUACUGCCAUAGUACAGACAGGACCGCUUCAAAUGGACUUCAGAGAAUGACUUGCAGUUAUGCAGAAAUAGAUAUAGUUCUCAGUGAUCGAGUCACAGGACAAAAAUUAUCUGCUUUGUUCUUGGAGAUUGUUGUCUGUGUGGCAAAAUUGGGCCAAGGUCCCAGGAACCAGCAUUUUGACCGUCCCUCCACCAUAAACACUCUGCUGACUUCCACAAACACAGCAAAGUUCCAAGAUGGCCCGUAUUGUAUCUCAUGACUAAAGUGCCCGACACUUGAUGAGUGAUGCCUGGUUUCUUGAGUUUGAUCCUGCACUAUUCAGCCUGCGUCGCAGAGACAACUGAGGGCGCUGUGAUGGAAUGAGUGAGCUUGAUGAGCUGCGCUAGGUCAACCAUCACUAGAUUGGUGUGACGUGACACCUGGAGACCGUGUACCAGCAUCCUUUUCACCAGUUUUGUUGUGGUGAACUGUUUAUUUGUUUACAUUUUCAUAAGCCGAGCUCUGUGUACUUAUGACAAUUGUUAAAAGUCCUCUGCCUCACACUACUGAGCUUAUGAAGUGAAUGAAGUUGAAAGUGAUUGUAAUCUGGUAAAGAAAAAGUGUUGACGUUAUACUGUUAAACCUGAUUUUAUUUUGUAUAGCGGCAUUUGAGUACAAUGACCAGCUGAGAUACCAGAACUUAGCUUGAAAUGAAAUAGACUUUAUUCUUGGGCCUUUUUCAGUCCCUUUUGGGCUGUCCAGGUCUAUGCAUAAAAUAUUUUGCUUGUUUGGUUGACUGGAAUCUUGUUUAAUUGAACCAGUGUAAUGUCAAUCACUACGUCAGUCAGUAUGUUACAGUUUUAUAGGCCAAAGUAAACUGCUGAUAGUCUGGUUUGGUAUUGGUUCCAGAAGAGUUAAUAAGCCUUUUGCGAGUUAAAUUUGAAUAAAAUCUGGUACACCGAGUUCUUUAAAUUCAC